rnacentral:rRNA from 1 species
CAGCAGCCGCGGUAAAACAGAGGGUGCAAGCGUUAAUCGGAAUUACUGGGCGUAAAGCGCGCGUAGGUGGUUUGUUAAGUUGGAUGUGAAAGCCCCGGGCUCAACCUGGGAACUGCAUCCAAAACUGGCAAGCUAGAGUACGGUAGAGGGUGGUGGAAUUUCCUGUGUAGCGGUGAAAUGCGUAGAUAUAGGAAGGAACACCAGUGGCGAAGGCGACCACCUGGACUGAUACUGACACUGAGGUGCGAAAGCGUGGGGAGCAAACAGGAUUAGAUACCCCAGUAGUCCCUGUCUCUUAUAA